rnacentral:lncRNA from 1 species
CUCAUAUCACAGCCCAGAUGGUUCUGGGCCAGUCACCACCGCUGCUGAUGGGGCAGCUGCCGAGAAGCACAGAGUAUACUCGCCAUGGUGGCCCACCUCCAGUAUGAAGGGGUGAUCCUUUGAAAAAUCUGAGUACAUCGUGGGAGAGGCACAGAGAGAUAUAAUCAAUGCCUCUUUAUGAAAAAUAGCAAUCACCUUUUUAUCCUUCAGUUUGUUCUCUGAGGCAACUUCUUCUGGAGCAACUUCCACAAGCUGGUUUUGUUCUUUGCCCCACAAACUACAGUUUUAUACUACCGUCAAGUGUAAAGGUUUCUACCCCUGAAAGGCCCACAAAACUAUUACAAGAAGACUUUUGAAGAGAGGCUCAAGCAUGUGCUGAGAGUUUCCUGCACCAAGGUUUCCAUCGAAAAUACGCAGGGAUGGACUCAAUGUUUGCUGCAGCUUCCUGGCUGGACAGAUACAGUAUCAGUCAUCGUGGAAGUAUGCUCCAGCAACAGUCACUUCCUGCUCCUGUUUAAUAAUCUCUCAAGAUCAAUUUCCUCACAUCAGCAUUUUCAAAAACCAUGUCAAAAAGUCUCCUUGCAAACUCAUGUAUUUGCUUAAAAUUAAUAAAUAUAUGUGCAGAAAAUAAAAAGCA